GACUCAGUAGCUCAGCUGGUAGAGCACAUCCCUUUUAAGGAUGGGGUCCUGGGUCCGAAUCCCAGCUGGGUCA
rnacentral:tRNA from 1 species